GUCAGGUUGAGGAUUUAUCAUGAAUGAGUGUUAGAUUGGUUGAGAAUAUUGUACAAUAUUCUCUACCCUUUCAUAAGUAUUCAAUUAUCUGAUUUUAGCUCCUGAGAUCUCAGUCCUGCUGGUGGUGAGUGGAGCACCUUUCUUUCUCUCCUGACUACGAGGCUCUGGGUUUCUUUUGGGCUUUGCUCUCUGUCUUCCUGUCUGUUGGAUCCAGACUGACCAAGCAGCUGUCAUCUAUAGCCUUGCUGACUGUGAGAGAUGGUAUGGUAAAACAUCGUUUGGUGCUUAAGAUCUCAGUCCAGAAGUGACCCAAAAAAGAAUUUAUAUUGAAACAUAUUGUAGCAUUUCUGAAAUACCGAACACCCCGAACACCCCAAGGUGGUGCUAUUGAUACUUUAAGGUAACUAAAUUUACAUUGUAUGAUGUACCAU
rnacentral:lncRNA from 1 species